rnacentral:rRNA from 1 species
AUGGUGGCGGUCGGGACGGAGCGGGGGCGGAAAGCCGUGGGGAGUCCGCCGGCAGGAGGAAGCAGUAUAGGGGCUGAUGAAGCGACGGAUGUGAUCCACCGCCUCCCUAGGUGCUCAUCCGCCUCGGCUCGUGAGGAAGCAGCGGGAGGAGGGAUGAGCUCAACUGGGCGCAUCAGAGAAAGAGGGAAGGAGCGGAUACCAGCCAGGAGGCUGCUCGGCUCAGUCCAGCCAUGGAGCUGGCGCUGCGGAUUCCCUGCUAGCCUCCUUCAUCUUCAUGUGGAUUUAGGUGGCACACUAGAUGUUGCACCACCGAUGGCAGUAGCCAGAUUUGGCGUUCGUGGUGCAAUGGCUUGGUGUUGCCCUUGCUUGAUGGUGCUGGAUAUGUCAAUAAACUGA